rnacentral:rRNA from 1 species
GAUGAACGCUGGCGGCGUGCUUAACACAUGCAAGUCGAACGGUGAACGAGGGAGCUUGCUCCCUCCGGAUCAGUGGCGAACGGGUGAGUAACACGUGAGCAAUCUGCCCUGGACUCUGGGAUAAGCGUUGGAAACGACGUCUAAUACCGGAUACGAGGCGUGGGGGCAUCCCCAACGCCUGGAUAGAACUUCGGUCCAGGAUGAGCUCGCGGCCUAUCAGCUAGUUGGUGAGGUAACGGCUCACCAAGGCGACGACGGGUAGCCGGCCUGAGAGGGUGACCGGCCACACUGGGACUGAGACACGGCCCAGACUCCUACGGGAGGCAGCAGUGGGGAAUAUUGCACAAUGGGCGCAAGCCUGAUGCAGCAACGCCGCGUGCGGGAUGACGGCCUUCGGGUUGUAAACCGCUUUUAGUAAGGAAGAAGGGGCUUCGGCCUUGACGGUACUUGCAGAAAAAGGACCGGCUAACUACGUGCCAGCCGCCGCGGUAACAC